GGACUGCANUGGGGGCACCCUGAUGCAGCGACGCCGCGUGAGCGAUGAAGCCCUUCGGGGUGUAAAGCUCUUUCGGCAGGAACGAUAAUGACGGUACCUGAAGAAGAAGCUGCGGCUAACUACGUGCCAGCAGCCGCGGUAAUACGUAGGCAGCAAGCGUUGUUCGGAGUUACUGGGCGUAAAGAGUGGGUAGGCGGUUCUCUAAGUUCGGUGUGAAAUCUCCCGGCUCAACUGGGAGGGUGCGCCGGAAACUGGAGGGCUGGAGUAUGGGAAGGGAAAGCGGAAUUCCUGGUGUAGCGGUGAAAUGCGUAGAUAUCAGGAGGAACACCUGUGGUGAAGACGGCUUUCUGGACCAUCACUGACGCUGAGACACGAAAGCGUGGGUAGCAAACAGGAUUAGAUACCCUGGUAGUCCACGCCCUAAACGAUGCAUACUUGGUGUGAGCCGUUCAUUCGGUUCGUGCCGGAGCUAACGCGUUAAGUAUGCCGCCUGGGGAGUACGGUCGCAAGGCUGAAACUCAAAGAAAUUGACGGA
rnacentral:rRNA from 1 species